GGAGGCGCGAAAACUGAUCCUUUAACAGGACACAAGCUUUGAAAAAGUGCUGGAAACAUUCAUACUCCAGCUGAAAAAUGCUGCAACAACGUCAAACUGAGACUGAGAGCAACUACACACAGGAAUGGGUGAUUUGACUGAACCACCUGGUCCUGAUGAAGGGUGAGAUGCAGACAUUUAAAGUAGUUUUUUAAUAUUGUGUUAUAGAUCAAUAUUUGAUAUAAAGUCUUAAUUAGCUCAUUAAUAAACCUAAAUGUUCUAUUUUUGUUCCGUUUGCAAGUGUGUUGUGUUUAUUUACCACCAUUGUGUUGAAACAUUUGGUCCUUUGUUUGAUCAGUUAUGUUCUCAGUUUAUGGUUGUGAAUUCGGCUCCUUUCAUGAGCUCAACGCUCAUUAAUUGUAAACAUUAUUUUGGGAUUAAAUAAACAAAUUUUCCUGUAAAUCACACCUUCCUGCUCAGAAAGGCAGCAAAAUAUGAGUCUUUGUUCAGCGUUUAAUCACAGUUAUGUUUCUUUUUAGGCACAUUAAUUAUUGCUAUGACUGUAAAUGUGAGCAAGAUUUGGAAAGUAGCAAUUUUUAUAUUUGCCAUUUCCUGAAAUAUAAAGAUUAACACACAUCUGCCUGAUUUAUGUAGGAUGUUCUCUUGUCUUUCUUUAUUUGAAGAGUGGCUGGUGCCUAUCUCUAAUGCCUAAGGGCAAUUUAGAGAGGCCAAUUAAGCUAACGCCCAUGUUCGUGGACUGAGGGGGGAAGUUAGAGUACCCAGAGAGGACCCACGCAUGCACAGGGAGAACAGAUUGGUAUUUGAACCCAAGACCUUUUUGCUGCAGUGCAGCAGUACUUCCCACAACCUGCCACUUAAAUUAAAUUUAUCUUAUUUAGGGCUGGGCAGGUUAACGCGUUAAUUUCGCGUUAAUUCAUUAGA